AUAAAAGAAUAUUAGUAAAUUUUAUUUUUACUAUUAGAUUUAUAUUGAGAAGAUGGAAAUUGACAUAUAUGGGUUCUGUUGCAUUCUUGCGAACUCGAACCUAGUACGAGCACCUCCCGUGACGGUUGAUUUUUGUAGUGAUUUCUAGACUUCAAGAUGGAUUUGCCCCAAUGUUUACAUCAAUGGUCGCUGAACAAUGCCACUUACCUUGUACUUCCUGGGGCACUCCAUCCUUAUUAUCUG